UACAGAGGGGGCAAGCGUUAUUCGGAAUUAUUGGGCGUAAAGGGCGCGUAGGCGGCUUUGCAAGUGGCGGGUGAAAUCCCUCGGCUUAACCGAGGAACUGCCUGCCAGACUGUGAGGCUUGAGACCGGGAGAGGUGAGUGGAAUUCCCAGUGUAGCGGUGAAAAUGCGCAGAUAUCAGGAGGAACACCAGCGGCGAAGGCGCUGCUCUGGGCCGGUACUGACGCUGAGGAGCGAAAGCGUGGGGAGCGAACAGG
rnacentral:rRNA from 1 species